rnacentral:tRNA from 1 species
GCCCUCGUGGUGGUGUGGUCAGCACGCUCGACGCGUAACCGAGAGGUCCGUGGUUCGAUUCCCGAUGAAGGCG